AGUAAAUAGAUACCCAGGUAGUCCACGCCCUAAACGAUGGAUACUUGGUGUUGGGGGGUUUGCCCUCAGUGCCGGAGCUAAACGCGUUAAAGUAUCCCACCUGGGGUACUACGGCCGCAAGGCUAAAACCUCAAACGGAAUUGACGGGGGUCCCGCACAAGCAGCGAGGUAUGUGGUUUAACUUCGACGCUACGCGAAGAACCUUACCUGGGCUUGACAUGCUUGAGAAACGAGCCAAGAAACCUGGCUCCCUCCUGGCCGCAAGGUCAGGACCCAUCCACAGGUGCUGCAUGGUCGUCGUCAGCUCGUGUCGUGAGAUGUAACGGUUAACGUCCUUGAA
rnacentral:rRNA from 1 species